rnacentral:rRNA from 1 species
UACGUAGGUGGCAAGCGUUGUCCGGAUUUACUGGGCGUAAAGCGCGCGUAGGCGGACCUGCAAGUCGGGGGUGAAAGCCCGAGGCUCAACCUCGGAACUGCCUUCGAUACUGCGGGUCUCGAGUCCGGGAGAGGUGAGUGGAAUUCCUAGUGUAGAGGUGAAAUUCGUAGAUAUUAGGAAGAACACCAGUGGCGAAGGCGGCUCACUGGCCCGGUACUGACGCUGAGGUGCGAAAGCGUGGGGAGCAAACAGG